CUUGAUGGAGCCGAGCCACAGCGGACGGCCCUCCGGCCGCUCCUGCCCGUACGUGGCCAGCAGCGCCUGCGCCUC
rnacentral:antisense_RNA from 1 species